AUGUAUCGUACCAUUUGUGUGUGUGUGUGUGUGUGUGUGUGUGUGUGUGUGUGUGUGUGUGUGUGUGUGUGUGUGUGUGUGUGUGUGUGUGUGUGUGUGUGUGUGUGUGUGUGUGUGUGUGUGUGUGUGUAUGUUUGUGUAGGUGCUCCAUGUUCUUGGCAGUGCGGUGUGUGUCCGGCGCACACUGGACCUUUCCCCUCACACUGGUCGCCACGGAGAAGGGGGUUGAUGACGAUCUCGCCGUCACCGCGGCCGGCCCGGGCAUCAGCUCCACCGCGGGCCUCCAUCUGCACAACCCCAUCCGUGAUCUGGUGCUGGUCCAGGGUGCGGACAAGCGCUGGACCUAUGAGGUCCAAGGGACUCUCCCUGAGCCCGGCCAGGUCUCCCCGCCCCGCGCACCCGUAUCAGCCAAUAGGAACCUUACAGCCCAGGAAGCCAUCAGCCCGGCCAAUAAACGCACGCGGAACUACGUCACUCGGAACCUUCGGCUGCCGGCGCUGGCAAACUCCUCCCCUUCUAAAGUGACGUUUCAGAGAUAAAACAAAAACCAGCAAAACAACUGUCUCAAACUCAUUCAUUCCACAACUUUUUUUAACCAAGUCAUUACUGAUGUUCAGGUGUUUGAGCAGAUGUGGGACGAUCCCCACAAUGCAUUGCAGCCAGAACCCCUGAGCAGUGGAACACUUUACACAGUAUCCACGCUCAGGGUUAAGGUUCACCUGCUGUGCAUUAACCAACGCUUGACCCAAACUCCUCCAUUCUAUCUAUAGGGCUUGUCAAUCAAAAUGCAGCAUGGGAUUUUCUUGUUGCCAAUUUCUCCAUAUUUAUAGUCUUGCAUAAAAAACGCUUUGGCAGUGACAAACCUAACAUUGUCUCCUCAGAACGACACCUACAUAGCCACAAAACGGCCAAGCAUCACAUACGCUUGGUACCUCACUCACUGCAUUAGCAGCAGUCAGUUGACCCAGCAAGCGUGAUCACCGACAUACACACACACACACACACACACACACACACUACAUUGAAUGAAUAUUGUAUGUACGAUCAAAGCUGUUUCAGAUUAGUUCAAAACACACUGAAACACGUGUGGAACACACAGUUAAAGCAGAUUGUGUGUAAUUGGUUCAAGGAUAAUCAUACCACGAUACUGAGACCUUAACUGUUGAAAGAGUGCACACGCCUUGAUAAGGACGUUAAAGACUUUGAGAAUAGCGGUCAAAUAUGCCCAAAGUACAGGAAUGUGUCAGAGAAAGAGGCAGUUCCCCCAUGGAAGUGGCCAGAGCAGCCAUGGGAGUGUAUUUAUAUAGACUAUCGAAAAUGGGAAACAUCAGUUUCUUCUGGUCAAAAAUGAUCUUACUCAUACUAACUAACUAAUGAGUAGUACCACAUCUUCAGCGAUAGUAGUCAUUGAGUCUGUUUCCUGCAUAUGGGAUCUCCCAUGUGUGUUUUUUUUUUACUGAUAACGGCACACUCUGAAUCUGUCUUUCAAUCAAAAAAACAUAUGAUGUGUAAAACAUAUGAACUCAGCUCUGUGCAAUCCAUUCUCUAACAGACUGGCAGAAAUGAUCAACCAGUGACUCCGCAUAUGAAAGGGUACGGGUAUUCAUUAAAAUGCUUUGUAGGCAAAGCUGCAGGAUUACACUCUCAACUAGAAACAUGAAAAGCUCUGUCUGGCCUCUAACUGAAAAUAAAUGUCAGGUUUAUAGGUUGUCUCAGGUAAAACCAAAAUCCAAUGCAAAUAUGCCAAAAACAGAUUAACCUCAGCCAAAUCAGAAGGUGUUGGUUUGCAUGGCUGGGUAAGGAUGGAAAAAAGUAAAUCCUGUACAAAGCCUUUUCUGUCUGAUAAGAGAAAUAAUGAUCACAGACGAGUUAUAAUGUGUUAAUCACGUUAUGUCAUAUCAUUCUGAUAAAUUAGUAACAUAACGUUAACUUGUUAAUUCGCAAUUAGAUUAAUCGACCUACCCAAAAUGCUGUUUAUUAUGUUACGUAGGCUAACAUUAUCGAUAGCCUUUAAAACAAUCAUACAAAAAAAAACUUCAAACUUUAAAAGUUCAAACUUUAUAACGUUACCUACACAUAACAGUGUUAGAUGAUAGUUUUGGUGGUAGCAGGUGGAGGGGGGGGGGGGGGGGUCUGACGGUGUAAACCUGCCGUGGAGGCGGUGUCAGACAGCAGCACUCCUCUCUUCGAAGCCAUCGUUUGCUCUAUAUUAAGACACAGUUGAAACAGACCGGUACCGUGAUACUACUGAUUUCUUGUGAGUGAUUUUCUUGAGUGUUGGAAAAACCAUUUGGAUAAUGUAAGUACACAACUCAACAAAAUCUAUAACAUAGGUUGAUCACUUUCAAAUGUGUUUAUGCAGAAUUGUACAUGUUAUGUCUCUUAAUAUUAUACAUAGACAAAUAUUUGUAUCAAGUCACUUUGAAAAAAGCCUCUGCUAAGUGCCCAAAAUGUAAAUGUAUACUGCUGUAUCAAUUGUAAGUGGCUUAUAGCAGUAUGGCUAAGAGUUGAUGUGAGUACUUUCGGAUGCUUAGGACACCAGCAUAUUAUUGGUGCUACUCACGGCCUCUUACGCUGUGUGGGCUGUGUACACAACAACAAUCAUUUCUUUAUAUGACACAAGAAUAACCAUAGGUGUUUUUUUUCAUAUUUUUUCUCAGGGUUUUUUGACUGGUUGUAAAUACGAUUUUAGUCAAUUUAACAACAAUAUCAUACCAUAAAAAAAAUUGCUUGUUGUACUUACUCUCGAAAACCUCAAAAAAAUGUAUUCUUAGCACACAUUAGAAGAUUUUAGAGCCCUAUGAAAUCAGUUUGAGUUCCUUCAAAAUUCCUUUUUUUUUUUUUCUUCAUGAAAUUUCUUCCCAAAUUCCAGACUCAUAAAUCAACGCUCCCCCUGUUUGCUUGUAUGCUUCACAAGAAAUAGUUGUACUUUCUUAGCUUUUCUAAGGAGAUAGCAGACUCUGCACACACAGCCACACAUGUCCUUGUACUAGUAAUGGUCCCUUGAGGAGGCAUGCUCUGGCUAACCCAGUGCUUUUCCUUGUUCAUAUGGGCUUUAGACUUCAAGUGGUCAUCACAUCUAUUUUUACAGGUCCAGUCAAAAGUAUUUUGACAGAAUUUGCAUUUUUUUGUUUAUCCCCGGACGGUCUUUGUAUUCUGGAACCACCUCAUUUACAAAUCACACCUAUUCCAAUAAAAAUCACGAAAACCCCCUUUUCAUGUAUGAUGCCUGAAAUAGGCUGUCUUCAGGCGGAUGCACUUGCAAAUGGGAAACUGUUUGAAUGAAGGCAAAUCGGUCACUGACAGUAAAUAAGUAAAUACGUUAGAAAUUUCAGAAGGGCUCUGCUGGUAAGUAUCAUCUUCAAGUUGGAGAGGCAACGUUUUUCUACUGGUCUGUACUCGUAACCUCCUCAUUGGUUGAGCUCCACAGAAGACAGUAAUGUGAUGUUAUUAAUGUUGUUAGUUAUUGUUAUAUCUCAAAUUAUCUAUUAUUUUUCACUAUAGUCAGAUUAUUGGAUCUUUAUAGGGGGGUGGUAUGUCUAGAGGCUAGUAUCAGCUAUCGUAAUUCACUGAGUAGGCAUUUUGUUUCUACAGAACCAUGGGGUCCAGUCGUCUCAUCUGCAGUUUCAUUGGUAGGUAUUCCACACAGCACUACUUUUAUCAUUAAGUUAGUUUUAUUAAAUUCAUUUAAAUUAACCAGCCGGAUAAUGGAAAUGGAUGUUUGGUGUUGAUUGUGAUUUUGGGUCUCUGUGAUAUCUCUACUGCAAAGGAUGAAGAAUAAUAGUUACAUUUAUAUUGAAUUGAAUAUUACAAAUUAUGUAUGUAUGUGUGUGUGUUAAUUAGGAGUCAGGAGUCCCCUCUAAUCACUGUUGCAGCUUUCCCUCAACUGCAUCAGCCCCCAAUGUCGUUUUUAUUAUUAUAUUAUAAUUCAUUUAGUAUUUUCUCAUGUACCAUGCAAGUAUUUCGAUGUGUUUUUGUAUCGUAGAACGCAACUAAGUAAACUCUGCUCUGUGGUUUCACUCGCUCAAAGCUGCAUCCCUCAUUAAUGUGCCGCUGAGUUCGGGUGCUGGGAGCUGCGUGCCUCUUGGUUCCCCAGAACUGGCCUCCAUCACGAUUCAGGCGAUGGGGAGGAACCUCACACUAGUUGGGAAGCGGCUGUGCUGGUCCGACGCCCUGUUCUACUGCAGAGACCAUCACUGGGACCUGCUGAGCAUCAGGGGCCCAGAGGACCAGGAGAUGGUUGAUGAGCUGGUGGCUGGCGCCCCCUUCCCGCUAACCAGACCACUCUGGGUUGGCCUGCGCAGGUAUUAUCCGGCAACAAGUCUGUACCCAUGAUCAU
rnacentral:lncRNA from 1 species